UAGGGAAUCUUCGGGCAAUGGGGGCAACCCUGACCGAGCAACGCCGCGUGAGUGAAGAAGGUUUUCCGGAUCGUAAAGCUCUGUUGUAAGUCAAGAACGAGUGUGAGAGUGGAAAGUUCACACUGUGACGGUAGCUUACCAGAAAGGGACGGCUAACUACGUGCCAGCAGCCGCGGUAAUACGUAGGUCCCGAGCGUUGUCCGGAUUUAUUGGGCGUAAAGCGAGCGCAGGCGGUUUGAUAAGUUUGAAGUUAAAGGCUGAGGUUCACCCAUAGUUCACUUUGGAAACUGUCAAACUCGAGUGCAGAAGGGGAGAGUGGAAUUCCAUGUGUAGCGGUGAAAUGCGUAGAUAUAUGGAGGAACACCGGUGGCGAAAGCGGCUCUCUGGUCUGUAACUGACGCUGAGGCUUGAAAGCGUGGGGNGCGAACAGGAUUAGAUACCCUGGUAGUUCACGCCGUAAACGAUGAGUGCUAGCUGUUGGAUCCUUUCCGGGAUUCAUUGCCGCAGCUAACGCAUUAAUCACUCCGCCUGGGGAGUACGACAGCAAGGUUG
rnacentral:rRNA from 1 species